rnacentral:rRNA from 1 species
UACGGGGAGUGCAAGCGUUGUUCGGAUUCAUUGGGCGUAAAGGGUGCGUAGGCGGCGCGGUAAGUCGGGUGUGAAAUCUCGGAGCUUAACUCCGAAACUGCAUUCGAUACUGCCGUGCUUGAGGACUGGAGAGGAGACUGGAAUUUACGGUGUAGCGGUGAAAUGCGUAGAUACUGGGAGGAACACCGGUGGCGAAGGCGGCUACCUGGACGGGUACUGACGCUGAGGCGCGAAAGCUAGGGGAGCAAACGGG